CCCUAGUUCUAACCGUAAACGAUGACAACCAGCGAUUAAUCGGCGUUAAUAUAUGACCCGAUUAGCAGCUUCCGGGAAACCAAAGUUUUUCGUUUCCGGGGGAAGUAUGGUUGCAAAGCUGAAACUUAAAGGAAUUGACGGAAGGGCACCACCAGGAGUGGAGCCUGCGGCUUAAUUUGACUCAACACGGGAAAACUCACCCGGCCCGGACACCGUAAGGAUUGACAGACUGAGAGCUCUUUCUUAAUUCGGUGGGUGGUGGUGCAUGGCCGUUCUUAGUUGGUGGAGCGAUUUGUCUGGUUAAUUCCGAUAACGAACGAGACUCUGGCCUAUUAAAUAGACGAUAUAUUUAAAAGUAUAUCGCGCUUCUUAGAGGGACAAGCGGCGUCUAGCCGCAUGAAAUAGAGCAAUAACAGGUCUGUGAUGCCCUUAGAUGUCCGGGGCUGCACGCGCGCUACACUGAAAGAAUCAGUGUGCGUUACGCCUAGUUCGGAAGAACCGGGUAACCCAAGUAAAUUCUUUCGUGCUUGGGAUAGGGAAUUGCAAUUAUUUCCCUUAAACGAGGAAUUCCCAGUAAAUGCGGGUCAUAAGCUCGCGUUGAUUACGUC
rnacentral:rRNA from 1 species